AUCACGAUCGCAAAUUUUUAACUGCAAGGUUGUAACGUGUGUGUGUACUGCUGCUUUUUAACAGAAUUGUACAACAGUUGCAUCCAAUACAAUCGUACUGCAGCGUUGGAACGUGAAUUGCCAGCUUGAGGAUUACCAAAUGUUGGAUCAUCAUCAAAGGCGUUGAAGUGACAGAGAAGUUUAUCAUAUAUGAUGACAUUACGUGCAACGGCAAAAUAACUACAUGUUUCUCAGAUUCCAAGGGAAAUUUAAAGAAGCCCCUGAAGCAGGUUUUUUCAUUGUGCCUGCAAUCACGAGGUGGUCUACCACUGUAGUUCAUGUUACUAUGAAAAGGUUCUCAGAAUCACUUCACUAAUUUAACUAACAACAAAAAUUCAACCAAAAACAUCAAAGUACUUUUCCCAAGGAAGAUGAAAACAACAGCGUUCACUUUCUGACUCUUCAAACGGUUCACACUUGGCGAAAAUUGAAGGUAGUUGAUACGUUUAUGUUGAAAUUAACUCGGUAAAGUGACUUUUAUUAAUGAAUAAAAUAAAUAUAAGCACAA